rnacentral:rRNA from 1 species
GAUGAACGCUAGCGGCAGGCUUAAUACAUGCAAGUCGAGGGGUAUAGAGUACUUGUAUUCUAGAGACCGGCGAACGGGUGCGUAACGCGUAUGCAACCUACCUUUAUCAAGGGGAUAGCCCAGAGAAAUUUGGAUUAAUACCGUAUAACAAUAGGAUCGGCAUCGAUUUUAUUUAAAAGAUUUAUUGGAUAGAGAUGGGCAUGCGUAGGAUUAGCUAGUUGGUGAGGUAACGGCUCACCAAGGCGACGAUCCUUAGGGGCUCUGAGAGGAGUAACCCCCACACUGGCACUGAGAUACGGGCCAGACUCCUACGGGAGGCAGCAGUAGGGAAUAUUGGUCAAUGGACGGAAGUCUGAACCAGCCAUGCCGCGUGCAGGAAGACUGCCCUCUGGGUUGUAAACUGCUUUUAUAUGGGAAGAAAAGGGUUCUGCGGAACACAUUGACGGUACCAUAGGAAUAAGCCACGGCUAACUACGUGCCAGCAGCCGCGGUAAUACGUAGGUGGCAAGCGUUAUCCGGAUUUAUUGGGUCUAAAGGGUGCGUAGGCGGCCUUAUAAGUCGGUGGUUAAAGGCAGCAGCUUAACUAUAUGCAUGCCAUCGAUACUGUAGGGCUUGAAUUAUCAGAAGGUAGGCGGAAUUUCUGGUGUAGCGGUGAAAUGCAUAGAUACCAGAAGGAACACCGAUUGCGAAGGCAGCUUACUGCAGAUACAUUGACGCUGAUGCACGAAAGCGUGGGGAGCGAACAGGAUUAGAUACCCUGGUAGUCCACGCCGUAAACGAUGAUUACUAGUUGUUGGCGAUAGAGAGUCAGUGACCGAGGGAAGCCGAUAAGUAAUCCACCUGGGGAGUACGCCGGCNACGGUG